UACGUAGGGUGCAAGCGUUGUCCGGAAUUAUUGGGCGUAAAGAGCUCGUAGGCGGUCUGUCACGUCGGCUGUGAAAACCCGAGGCUCAACCUCGGGCCUGCAGUCGAUACGGGCAAACUAGAGUACUGCAGGGGAGACUGGAAUUCCUGGUGUAGCGGUGAAAUGCGCAGAUAUCAGGAGGAACACCGGUGGCGGAAGGCGGGUCUCUGGGCCGGUACUGACGCUGGAGGUGCGAAAGCGUGGGGAGCAAACAGG
rnacentral:rRNA from 1 species